CUUUCUGGAAUGUUAUCUACCUAUCAGAGGAAGAAUUCCGAAAUAAGAGAAAGAAUUAACAUUGGAAAGCCUCUUUGCUGAAAACACUAGCUUUAAAGCUUUGGAGAAAACAGUUCUAAUUGACACAAUUUGGCAGGGGUGCAGGAGAGAAGUUCUGAGAAAAGUAUGGAAGGAACAAGAGAGAUGCU